rnacentral:rRNA from 1 species
GGGUCAGGAGGUUCGUCGUGCCACCGGUACGUACUGGUCUCACUGAUUCCUCCUUCCUGAAGAACCGUAAUGCCAUUAAUUUGGUGUUGCGGGGAAACAGGACUGUUACUUUGAAAAAAUUAGAGUGUUUAAAGCAAGCUAACGCUUGAAUACAUUAGCAUGGAAUAAUGAAAUAGGACGAUCGAUCCUAUUUUGUUGGUUUCUAGGAUUGACGUA